rnacentral:lncRNA from 1 species
ACAAUUAUAUAUGUUUACAUAUGUCGUAUGUUAAAUUAUACAUGUGUUAAUGCAAUUUAUGCUAUAAUAUUAAUUAAUUAAGCUAUUCACAGCAUUAUUGACAGUAAGUGGCUGUGAUAUACUAGAUUUCAGGUGAACUAUGUAUUUUAACAGCAGUCUUUACAAAUUCUGCUAUUACUUUGAUACUUUUAGGACAGGGUGGAUUAAGGAGAAUAAGGAGAUAUGGGACAAUGAAUAUGUAUCAUUCAGAGACCUCCUACCUCAUACGUCAUUGCCAAAGUGAGGAAAAGAUUGCCAAAGUAGAUGUUAAUGACAGUGAGAAUCGCCUCCCUUACACCCAAAUUGAUGUGGGCAUACUUACAGAAAAGGCACUCAAGGAAAGUUAAACAAAGAAUGCGGCAAGUGACAGAGAGGUCAUGGGGUUCAAGUUAGAAUGCAAACUGUUCAUGAUGAAAACCACUGAAAAGAUCCUACAUAUGUGUCCAAUUUCCUAUUCACUGGUUCGGAACAUGCCUGCUCUAAACCCAAGGGAGAUGGCAGCUGACAGAUGCAUGCAGAUCAAAUUUAAGAAAGUUCUGAACCUGUUAGCAAGUGGAAACAGAAUAGAUGCAAAUGAUAGUGACAGGCCUGAUAAUUUUCAAGUACAUGUAUGAAACCUGAUGAUUCUUAAUCUAAAUUGCUUGAAGUGUGCAAAUUACUUCUGGUUCUGUCACAUGGCCAGGCAAACGUUGAAAGGGGUUUUUCUGUCAAUAAAGAAAUAGAGGUUGAAAAUUUAGGAGAUGAAAGCCUUGUUGCACAGAAAAUGGUGUGUGAUCAUGUUAAAGUGAUUGGUGGGAUCCUACAAGUACCUAUUACAAAUGCGGUUCUUGCAUCUGCAGCCUCUUCCUGGCAAAAAUAUGAGGUUUAUUUGGAUAAACAGAGAGAGAAAAAAAAUCUAAGAUGGAAAAGAGAAAAAGAAUGGACACUUUGGAGGAAAUCGAGGAACUGAUGUGGGUGGGAGGUCCCAGACGCAGUGCUCCUGGCUGAAAUUAAGUUCAUUCAAAAAACACAAGAGCAGCCUUUUUGUCCAUCUAAAACCUGCUUCCAAGAGAUAUAGCAGAUAUGAGUAUCAAAAAUAAAGGCAGGGGAUUUUAUGAAUAUCACAAACAAUUUAGCAUCAGGGCGACAGCAUAUCUAGCACAUCAUGUAUCUGGAUGAAAAAUCUGGAUAUUUGCUUCUUAAAAGAGUGGAUGAGAGGACGUGCAAUUGAGAGAUCCAAAGCAAUUUACUAUUUGGAGCAAGCUAAAGAGCAGUUAAGGUAAGAAUUACUUUUAUUACCUUUAUUAGACACUAAAGGAAGUCUACAUUGGAAGCAUGUACUCAAGUAGCUGAAAGCAGCAGUUCAAAAAAUAAUAAAAAUUGUGUGGUCACAAGUGUAUGUGGUGAAAGUGCCUGUCACUCUAGAAUUCCAUUUUACUAGGUUAACGCUAUUAUAAUUACAUCAUUAUUACAAUAAUUUAUUAUCAGUAAAAGUACUGGCCGGUAAGUAUUAUUGUGUAGUAUUAGUGUAUAGUUUAGGCAUUUUUUACUAUUUGAAUCCCAUUUUCGCUGACACAUUUAACAAAAUGGCGGGUCACGUGGCUAAGUUCUACGUCAAUUUUAUCACUGAUGAGCAACAACAGCAUAUACCUGAUAUAACAACAGGGCAGGCUUUAUUUGUUAAGAGCUCAAAAGGGCAACUUAACAAGAGAAAUGAUGCUAGAGUGGUUAGAGGGAAAAAUAUCCCCAGUUGCUUUAAGUGUUUUAGACUUUUUAACCAACCCUAACCCACCUGGGUCACAAGAUGAGGGGUCAAAGUCAACAUGGAUGCCAAACUUAGGAGGAGGGUGGCUGUGGCAAUCAGCUAAAAAAUUAUUUACUUCAAAUAAAAGAAAAGUGCCUCCUACUACACAGAUGCCUAGUAUGCCUGCACAGACUGAGGGCAGUGAAAGGACUUUCCUCAAAACCAUACCUAUGGGCACCAAGUUUUCAACUUCUCAUCCGUGCAAUAACCCUAGAUUCACUGAUGUGCCGGGACCAAGUGGUUUAUUUCCCAGCAACGCCAGCACAUCCUUUUUUCCGUCAAACCCUGGGGAUGAAAGACAGGAGAUUUCCAUGGAAGUGGACAAUGCCAGUGAUGUACCUUGGGUCAAAGGGCCCCCUUAGCCUGCGUUUCGCCACGACGUAAGAUUAACCCACCUAAAAAUCUUACAUUUAACGGUAAAGGUAGUUGGGCAGCAUUUAAGCUGGUAUUUUUGCAUCAUGCUGAGAGAGAACGUUGGGAUGAUGACAUGUCAUUGGAUGGGUUAUGUUUAUGCCUUAUAGGUAAGGCUCAGGAAUGCUGCGUUAAUGCCACUAAACGUGAAGGCACAUUGACAUAUCAAAGCCUAGUGGAAGAAUUAGAAAUGUGUUACGGAGAAACAGAUACUCCAGCAACAGUAGGCUCUCAGCUGCAUAAUGCGAAAUAGACUGAGACAGAGUCUGUUGAUGAAUGGGGAGUACGUCUUCUAAGGCCCGCGUCUCAAGCCUUCCCUAGUCUACCUAAGUCGUUUGUAGAUUUGGAAGUAGUAAAUAGAUUUUGUGCAGGAAUGUUGAACCCGGAAGUGGAGCAAGUUAUUUAUAUGCAGCGUCCAUCUACAUUGUAUGAAGCUAUGCAAUUGGCAAAAAUGCAUCGUGAGUUAAAGGUAACUAUGGAAACUAAAAAAAGGGCGUACUGGGACCAAAAGGGUCAUGUUGCAACACAGCCGUCUAAAGAGACAGAUACUUCUAAAACUGAAGAUUUUAGGGGUGAAAUAAGGAGCAUGCAGAAGGCAUUAAAAGAAAUACAACAGCAGAUGGCUCAAAGAUCAACUAAUUUUCUGCACACAGCAUGCCCUUUUGUAUAUUUACUGACAUAAGCUGGCAGGGCUUUUACCUCUGCUCAGGGAGUCUCACAUACUAACUAAACUUCAUUUGCAGGUAAUGGACCAACCACCAGGAAUCCCUUCCCUGGCACAGGGGGAGUACUCGGGCUCCCCCUAGAUCACGCACUUUACACGACGUAAAACGCAGAAGGCCACGACACCCUCGUCAAGUCACAGUCUCAGAAACACCACCAGAGAGCACAGGAACACUCAACACUUCCACAGCUGGCGCCAAUAUUGCACAGGCCCACAAAACUCUAGGCAUGCAAUCCACAGUCUCGGGAAGUCACACAUUUAUUAGAGUCCCUCAGCCAACAUGUGUGAUGGGAAACUCGGGUCCCUCCACAUCUGCCACACCACACCAGCCAGUCAUGGUUUUUUAUGGCCAACCCGCCGGAUUGCUGGCAACUCCCACAACAGGUGAGUCUAUGACUACUCAUAUUGAUAGCCACUUAAGUCAGUCCAUCCGCCUAAAAAUUUGGUACAAUGAAUAUGUGUCCUUCAAAGAUCUCAUUCCCAAAAAUUCAAACACCUUUAGUCUCCAUGACUCUUCAAUGGAUGAGCAGUUUGUACAUAAGCGUAAACAAGAUGCCAGCUGAUGGUAAUCUCCAUAUGAUUCUGGAACCAGUCCAGAAAAAAAGUGUCCCUAUCACCUUCCUACAGUGGCAGGCAGCUUUCAUCAUCUUUUCAGCGAUAUAUUUACAAAAGCAUCCCCAACAGGCUGUCCCACUGACCCAAUACAACAACAGAAUUCUAGAGAUGUAUGCCAAUAACACCUCAAAUUGGCAAACCUAGAUGAGCACUUUCGCUCCAACUACAAAUCACUAGCCUACAGCUGGGACAAACCAGACCCAGUUCUCUUGGCAGAUAUCAGUUUUAUCCAACGUCCCACAGGGGAACAGCCCUUUCAUUCACAGAGAAAGCCAUGCUUUCGCUGGAACAAUGGAUGAUACUGUGACACAGUAUACUCUAUCAUCAGGAUUCCCAGGAUUUUUUCUUCAAUGGCCUGAAAUUUGUCAAUUCCUGGCGAUUCAUGGGAUUCGUGGUCUGUGUGAAAUAGGGGCAUUAGCAGUUUCUUCUGCUGACUGGAACUGAGAACUCUGACAGAUUAUGAACAUUAUAGUAAAAUUACUAGUGGAGUAAAUGUCAACACAAUUGACAGAUUGUUAGGGGCCACUAAAUUUGACACACUGUCAGACUAUCAGAAGAAUGUUUCCUUGCUCUUUGAUGAGGUGAGGAUAAAAUCAGACUUGGUCUACUAUAAGCACACUGGAGAAUUGAUUGGACUUUGUAAUAUAGGAACAUUGAACCAGGAAUUAUUUAUAUUUCAGAAAAAUUUAGAAAUAAAUGGAAAUAAAGAAAAAGAAAAGGAAAUAAAGAAAAAGAUCUUGCCACCCAUGUUUUAAUGUUUAUGGUACAAGGAAUAUAUAUGCUGAUUUUCCUCCCCCCUGCCAUUUUACCCAUGCUGUGGCUUUACAAGUGAUCAGUUGUUUCCAGUUGUAUGGAAAAUGGUGGAAACAUUGGAAGACAUUGGCUUCAAGGUUCCGGCGACAGCAUGUGACAGUUCCAGUCCCAACAGGAGGUUUUAUAGGCUACACAAUGCUGUAUUGGUUGGAACUCCAGUGUAUAAAGUAAUUAACUUCUUUGCUGCCACACCACGCUACUUGUACUUCAUUGCAGACCCACCCCAUCUGAUCAAAACAACCAGGAAUAAUUGGGAAAACUCUGGUGCAAAUGGGAACAGUAGGAACUUUGUUUUUUUACGUGUCUUGUGAAUUCCUGCGUGAAAUAAAACCAAGAUCCAGUGAACAACUUAUGCUUUUCCUUGACUUAUAAUUUAUCUGUAUAGCCCUUGUGUGCUAUAAUUUCUAUGAAGAUUAAAAAAGGGCUCAAUUCAGUUUUUAAAUGUGCACUAUGUCAUGGAGCUCUUUCCAGAGUUAAUUAACACUUGGACUUGGUUCAAGAAUAAGAAAUCUUUUCCUUGGUAUACAAAAGCUCUUAGAGUUAUGUCAGUUGGUUGACACCAACGCCAUGCCAUGCUUCUUUUGUGAUAUUUGAAUGAUCAAAAAUGUAGUUGCUAUUCCAAACUGCAAUUUGAAAUGAUUAUAUUAUAUUAUGCUGGUGCUCAUUAUAUGGAAAGGAAAAUAAAUUUGCUUAUUUAACAAGUUUUCCAGCGCCAUGUGGAAGUUUACUGUCAUUAUUUUCAAAAAUGAAAAUAUAAUACUCCAAGUGUCCUGCCUAAUUUUGUGCUUUGUGUUUUUCACUACAAAAAUAACUAUUGCUAUUGUUCCUUAUUUUGUACAGAGCUGACCUCAAAAAUUUUUUAUUUCAUAUGAAAGAUUUUAUAAACGAACCCAAUGACAGUUUCGCAACCUGCUGUUUGUCAUUUACCUGUAUUAAAAUAGUGACUUGAAGGUAUACUUGUUUCUUGCAUCUCAUGCUGAGUUUAUUUAUUCAUUAAUUCAAUUUGUUUACAAAUUGUUAAUUCAUAAAUCCCAUUUCGUUGAAAUUCACAUAUAUUAAUCAAAAAGCGUGUUAUACUAAAAUAAGACUUUAUUCAUAACUUCAAUAUUUCUUCAGCUACAUUUUCAAGAAACACCCACACACUUAUGAAGAAAAAAAAAUAUUAAUUAACACAAGUACAAUUUUGUGCAACUUGCUGUUUGUCUUACUUGUAUUAAAAUUGUAAUUAUAUCAAUUAGAGCCUGUAGUACCAAAAUUAUUCUGUUCACAACUUCAAUAUCUCUUUCAAGUGCAUUAUUUAAAUGGAUUACAAACUUCACUUUUUCUGUC